rnacentral:rRNA from 1 species
UGGGGAAUUUUGGACAAUGGGCGAAAGCCUGAUCCAGCAAUGCCGCGUGUGUGAAGAAGGCCUUCGGGUUGUAAAGCACUUUUGUCCGGAAAGAAAUCCUUGGCUCUAAUACAGUCGGGGGAUGACGGUACCGGAAGAAUAAGCACCGGCUAACUACGUGCCAGCAGCCGCGGUAAUACGUAGGGUGCAAGCGUUAAUCGGAAUUACUGGGCGUAAAGCGUGCGCAGGCGGUUUGCUAAGACCGAUGUGAAAUCCCCGGGCUCAACCUGGGAACUGCAUUGGUGACUGGCAGGCUAGAGUAUGGCAGAGGGGGGUAGAAUUCCACGUGUAGCAGUGAAAUGCGUAGAGAUGUGGAGGAAUACCGAUGGCGAAGGCAGCCCCCUGGGGCCAAUACUGGCGCUCAUGCACGAAAGCGUGGGGAGCAAACAGGAUUAGAUACCCUGGGUAGUCCACGCCCUAAACGAUGUCAACUAGUUGUUGGGGAUUCAUUUCCUUAGUAACGUAGCUAACGCGUGAAGUUGACCGCCUGGGGAGUACGGUCGUCAAGAUUAAAACUUAAAGGAAUUGACGGGGU